rnacentral:miRNA from 1 species
GAUAUUCGACGUCGUAAACACGAUCAACUUAGGUGUUUAUGACGUCUAUAUUCGGCGUCAUAAACACGAUUAACUUUGGUGUUUAUGACGUCGAUAUUCGACGUCAUAAACCCAUUCACCUUUGGUGGGUGACUUUGGUUGGAAAAAGAUAAGUUUUUGUUGUAAAAUUCGUCGAUAUUCGUCGUCAUAAACACGAUCAAAUUAGGUUUUAUGACGUCGAUAUUCGACAUCAUAAACACAAUCAACUUAGGUGUUUAUGACGUCGAUAUUCCACGUCAUAAACACGAUUAACUUUGGUGUUUAUGACGUCGAUAUUC